GGUUGGAUAACAUAAUGGCAAUGUGCUGGAUUGCAAAUCCGAAAAUGAUGGUUCGAAUCCGUCUCUAACCU
rnacentral:tRNA from 1 species